rnacentral:rRNA from 1 species
UACGUAGGGGGCAAGCGUUGUCCGGAUUUAUUGGGCGUAAAGAGCGUGUAGGCGGCCUGAAAGGUCAGCUGUGAAAACUCGAGGCUCAACCUCGAGACGUCGGUUGAAACCAUCUGGCUAGAGUCCGGAAGAGGAGAGUGGAAUUCCCGGUGUAGCGGUGGAAUGCGCAGAUAUCAGGAAGAACACCCGUGGCUAAGGCGGCUCUCUAGUACGGUACUGACGCUGAGACGCGAAAGCGUGGGGAGCAAACAGG